rnacentral:lncRNA from 1 species
CAAUUUCUACUUCCAUAUUUCUCCACUCUCCGGAAAUCUAGAGUAUUUUUUCCGAUCAAAAUGGAUUACCCGCAUGGCCACACCCACCACCAAAGCCACUACCGCCGUGAUGAGCGAGAAGAAGAAUACCCACCGCCGCAGCCGCAUGUCGGACCUCCCUUUGAUCCCUACCACAAUCAACCUCCACCGCCGCCGCAUGUCGGACCUCCCUUUGAUCCCUAUCACAAUCAACCUCCACCGCCGCCGUAUGUCCGUCCCGCCGACUUUGAUCCCUACGAUCAACCGCCGCCGCCUGUGGCAACCCACGUGCAUCACAGCUCCUAUGGAGCUGAACCGUACCCUAAUUAUCCACCACAGCCGACUACAGAUUACUAUAAUCCACCACCACCACCGGUAAUCGACCCCCACCGGCCACCGACCCAUGAUUUCCAUUACUCGCCGGAGACUCCAGCUUACCCG